rnacentral:lncRNA from 1 species
UAGCAUGCCAGGUAAGUGGCAGAGCCACCCCUUCUCCACUACUCUUUACUUUACCAGGUUGAGAAUACUUCGGCAAUGCCUGCAAUAGAACUUGAGUUUGGCACGACCCCUCCGACCUACAGUCCUGCCUUCAGCCUUCCUCCAAACACUCUGUCUCACCUCAUCUUCAGCAAGUUAAAAGGGAAGCUGAGAGGGUCUUGCCUGAGAAGGAGGCAGAAGACCUUGCCUGGGGCUACAGAGGGUUGGGUGCUUCUCUGUUUGCACAGUAACUCUGGGUGUUCCCAGGGAAGGGCCAUAUGUCUCCACGUGAAAACCACCUCCCUCUCUCAGGUAAACGAGAUCUAUAUUCCUUUCCAUGGUGCUUCAGGUCUUAAAGGAUUCCCUCUCCCCCUUCCCUUACCCCUAACUUGUUCUUACAGCUGUGAAGAUUUCCUGGCUGUCUUUGAAUGUAAUAAGCAUAUCUCUUUCAA